AGCAGUUUAGCUUAAUGGUAAAGCACUCAUCCUUUGAGGGAUGUGGGUUCGAGUCCCAUAGCAGUUU
rnacentral:tRNA from 1 species